UACGUAGGGACCAAGCGUUGUCCGGAAUCAUUGGGCGUAAAGCGCGCGUAGGUGGCCAUUUAAGUCCGCUGUGAAAGUCAAAGGCUCAACCUUUGAAAGCCGGUGGAUACUGGGUGGCUAGAGUACGGAAGAGGCGAGUGGAAUUCCUGGUGUAGCGGUGGAAUGCGCAGAUAUCAGGAGGAACACCAAUAGCGAAGGCAGCUCGCUGGGACGUUACUGACGCUGAGACGCGAAAGCGUGGGGAGCAAACAGG
rnacentral:rRNA from 1 species